UACGAGGGGUGCAAGCGUUGCUCGGAAUUAUUGGGCGUAAAGGGUAGGUAGGUGGUCUCAUUUGUCUGGGGUGAAAGCCUUGAGCUUAACUCAAGAAGUGCCCCGGAAACGGUGAGACUAGAGUCCUGGAGAGGGUCGUGGAAUUCCCGGUGUAGCGGUGAAAUGCGUAGAGAUCGGGAGGAACACCAGAGGCGAAGGCGGCGACCUGGACAGGCACUGACACUAAACUACGAAAGCGUGGGGAGCAAACAGG
rnacentral:rRNA from 1 species